UGAGAGGCUUGCAUUACAAAUUCUCAAUGUAUGAGAUUCUCCUUCAAGUUUCUAGAGGACUAUCUAGGAGGCAGCAUAUUAUAAUCUGCCACCUAAAAGAUUUCCAAAGGAAACAUAUAAAGGGUCCUACAAAAAGCCCAAUAGGGAAACUAGCUACCAGUUAGGCCAUUUUCUUAGGAAGAUUAAACCUGUUGCACCUGUGGAACCUAUAGUGAAGUUUCUGAGAAGUCAACCUCGGUUCGUGGGACCACCCUUGGUCAAAUUGAAGAAACAGUGGCAAUUAGUGCACCAUCAUAAAUUUCUACAAUCGCUAACCUAUACACAGAAGAGGCAGCUUCAGAGGCAAAGGGCUGUUAAAAGGAACUAAAAGAAGAGCAUAAAGAUUAGGCUUUAUAAAAAAGUAAGUUCAAUAGAAAAGCAACAGAGGAUCAGAGCUAAUGGGAAGUUCAGAAGAAGUAUCCAUUCAAAAUAAAGAAGGUAAAGCUUUACCUAUUGACUGUAAUGUUGCUUACUUGAUUUUGCCUAUUGCUUUUUAGAAAGUAGUGGUAGAGGUACCCAAGGAGAUGCAGGAAAUAAUAGAUUUGGGAUGCUGAGGUCUCUAGUGGAGUUACCAUUUAGUGCACUAAGCAAGGGGAGCCAAAGAAGAUAGUGAUGACCAAGCAUCUGCAACCCCUG
rnacentral:misc_RNA from 1 species